UACGGAGGGUGCAAACGUUGCUCGGAAUUACUGGGCGUAAAGCGCACGUAGGCGGGUUCUUAAGUCGGUGGUGAAAUCCUGGAGCUCAACUCCAGAACUGCCUUCGAAACUGGGAAUCUUGAGUCCGGGAGAGGUGAGUGGAACUGCGAGUGUAGAGGUGAAAUUCGUAGAUAUUCGCAAGAACACCAGUGGCGAAGGCGGCUCACUGGCCCGGUACUGACGCUGAGGUGCGAAAGCGUGGGGAGCAAACAGGG
rnacentral:rRNA from 1 species